UAAGUAAAAAUCUUGCAAUUUUAUUUGCAUAUAAAGGCAGCUAAAUAUAUCACAAUGAACUGAAAGAGAGAACUAACAUUUCCAUGAAGAGGGAUACAAUCAGAAAGAGCGAGAGGAACAGAAAGAGCAUUUACAGCGGCAAAGUUGAGACAACUAUUGGCAACAUUUUUUUUUUGUGCUAGCAAGAUUGCAUUUACACACAGUGCAAAAUUAGAAAAAGAAAGCAAUUAAAAACACAAAUACUAUCAGUUACACUUUUAAGGACAACUUUACCAGGCUUAGGCAGGCGUGUUGUUGGGUACAAGCGGCACCUGUUGGAUUGUGACGAAUUCUUCCUCUCUCAUCCGAAAUGAACGUCCACCCCCACUGGGCGAGUCGAUACAAAAAACAUUAUACAAACGCAUGAAGGGCGUCCGAUGGGAGCGUUAAAGAAACAAGUCAAUUGUACAGGCGCGCACAGAAAAAAAGAAAAAUGCACCAGAUCAUAUUUUUUUUCCGUCAACCACAACUUUUAGUACAGAUGUUUUACAACAUGAAUAUAUAAUAUAUAUAUAUUUUUUAUACAUACAUUUUCCAAAUUAGAUCAGGAAUCCGUAGCGAGGUGUUACAAGGGGAGUUUUCCGGGCUGUUUUUUCGGUAGCUUUCCGUCCCUGCGUUAGUCAGCUGUUGUUUUGCGGGGUAAUAAAUAAGGACUCUCUCUGAGCUCGCAGAGAGUGGGGCUCUAGCUGAGAACAUUAAAGCUAGUUUAAGGCAGCGUCCCUGUCAGCCAAUAAGAGAAGAGGAACUGACGAGAAAAACAAUGCAAAAAAAAAAAAAGAGCUAAACACAAAAAUAUCAGAUGAUACACCAUGAAGCAAUGGCAUCCAUUGUCCGGCCAAUGCAAACCAAACACAAAGAAAUUGUACAAAUUCACAAAGCAUCAUUUAUCUUACAGAUCUGACCAAUAUUAAUAUCAAGAGCAAGAUUGUUUAACCACAAAAGUCCCUCAAAAAAGGAGAAUACCGGUGCCACUGGCGACUGUUGUUCCCCGAAUACAUUUUGCAUGGCACACUUCUGUUGACUUGUUCGCUUUUUUUUUUUUUUUUUUUAGCACAUUCACAGCGUGAAUAUUGUCUUUUCUUGCGAUCAUUAAAUGACGUCAGGAAGGAAUCAGAUAUGAAGUGUGUAACUGAACCGAAACAUUGAUUUCAUGUCCAGAAAAUCAGCUUAUUAGAAAAUAACUUGAUGGCAUCAUCGUCGCAAAAAGAACAGCCGUGUCCACGCUCUCUUCUCGUCUGCACUAAGGCAACUUAUUUUGGCGGGGUGACUUCCUGUGUGAGGCUGUUCAACAGGAAGUGGACCGUCGAUGUAGAAAUGUGGAAGUGGGUUUUUUCGGACUCAACGAGAAUGUGUGUAGGAAAAAAAACAAAAAAAACAGAAAUCCGAGGGGGAACACAGCAUUGUUAGCACAACUAGAAAUAAAGACAACAAAAAGACCACCGGUGUUCUCCUUUAACCCCCCCCCCCAAAUUCCCCCCAUUCUCAAUGACAGCUUGGAGAAGUUUGCAAAAAAACACUUAGUACUUUUUUUUUUCUUCUUUUUUUCAACUGGACAUAUUUAUAGAAAAGAAAGUCGUUUUUUUGUCCCC
ensembl:lncRNA